GCGCGAGUGGCGGAACUGGCAGACGCACUAGAUUCAGGUUCUAGCGGCCGCAAGGCUGUGGGGGUUCAAUUCCCCCCUCGCGCA
rnacentral:tRNA from 1 species